rnacentral:rRNA from 1 species
AUUGAACGCUGGCGGCAGGCCUAACACAUGCAAGUCGAACGAGUGGCGGAAGGGUGAGUAAUGUCUGGGAAACUGCCUGAUGGAGGGGGAUAACUACUGGAAACGGUAGCUAAUACCGCAUAACAUAGGAUGUGCCCAGAUGGGAUUAGCUAGUCGGGGGGGUAACUGCUCACCUAGGCGACGAUCCCUCGCUGGCCUGAGAGGCUGACCAGCCACACUGGAACUGAGACACGUUCCAGACUCCUACGGGAGGCAGCAGUGGGUAAUAUUGCACAAUGGGCGCAAGCCUGAUGCAGCCAUGCCGCGUGUAUGAAGAAGGCCUUCGGGUUGUAAAGUACUUUCAGCGGGGAGGCGUUACCCGCAGAAUAAGCACCGGCUAACUCCGUGCCAGCAGCCGCGGUAAUAC